rnacentral:rRNA from 1 species
AUAUGGUCGACCUGCAGGCGGCCGCGAAUUCACUAGUGAUUAGAGUUUGAUCAUGGCUCAGAUUGAACGCUGGCGGCAUGCCUAACACAUGCAAGUCGAACGGCAGCACAGUAAAGAUUUCGGUCUUUAUGGGGUGGCGAGUGGCGGACGGGUGAGUAACACGUAGGAAUCUGUCCUGGAGCGUGGGAUAACCCGAGGAAACUCGGGCUAAUACCACAUGAUAUCGAGAGAUCAAAAGCAGGGGACCGAAAGGCCUUGCGCUCUGGGGUGAGCCUACGUCGGAUUAGCUAGUUGGUGGGGUAAAAGCCUACCAAGGCGACGAUCCGUAGCUGGUCUGAGAGGAUGACCAGCCACACUGGGACUGAGACACGGCCCAGACUCCUACGGGAGGCAGCAGUGGGGGAUCUUGGACAAUGGGGGAAACCCUGAUCCAGCCAUGCCGCGUGUGUGAAGAAGGUCUUCGGAUUGUAAAGCACUUUAAGUUGGGAGGAAGGGCAGUAACCUAAUACGUUGCUGUCUUGACGUUACCGACAGAAUAAGCACCGGCUAACUCUGUGCCAGCAGACGCGGUAAUACGAAUCUGAUUCCCGCGGCCGC